rnacentral:rRNA from 1 species
AUGAACAGUAACAGAGCCCCAGGGCCUGACAAUAUACCUGCUGAGUUUUACCAGCAUUGUUGGGAGAUUGUUAAAAAAGAUAUAAUGAAUCUUUUCGUAGCAUUUUAUGAGGGGAGAUUGGAUGUGCAUAGGCUUAACUAUGGCAUUAUCACCCUGCUCCCAAAAGUUAAUGGAGCUAACAAGAUUCAGCAAUUCAGACCCAUAUGCUUGCUUAGAUGCCCCUACAAACUGAUCGCCAAAGUUCUAGAUAAUAGAGCAGCUCCCUUCGCUGAUGUGUUGUUCAGUAAACACCAGAAUGCCUUUAUUAAAAACAGGCACAUCAUGGAUGGGAUCAUGUCCCUCCAUGAGAUCUUACAUUACACCCAUAUUAGGAAGAAAGUAGGGAUUGUCAUUAAGCUAGAUUUCGAGAAAGCCUAUGACAAGGUGAAUUGGGAAUUUUUGCUACAAAGCUUAGAAAAUAGAGGUUUCGGCGCCACUUGGUGCGGGUGGAUGAAGAAAAUCAUUCAAAAUGAUACGGUUAGUGUCAAAUUAAACAACACUUUGGGCCCAUAUUUCCAAAGUCACAAAGGAGUUAGACAAGGAGAUUCUAUCUCUCCCUUCUUGUUCAACAUUGCAGCUGAAUGUUUGUCCCAAAUGGUGCGUCAAGCG